UGAGGAAUUUUGCGCAAUGGGGGCAACCCUGACGCAGCAACGCCGCGUGAGUGAAGAAGGCCUUUGGGUCGUAAAGCUCUGUCGACAGGGAAGAAAUUAACAUCAUCCAAUAGGUGUAGUUAUUGACGGUACCUGUAGAGGAAGCACCGGCUAACUCCGUGCCAGCAGCCGCGGUAAUACGGGGGGUGCAAGCGUUAUUCGGAAUUAUUGGGCGUAAAGGGCGCGUAGGCGGUCUUGUCGGUCAGAUGUGAAAGCCCAGGGCUCAACCCUGGACGUGCAUUUGAAACAGCAAGACUUGAGUACGGGAGAGGAAAGCGGAAUUCCUGGUGUAGAGGUGAAAUUCGUAGAUAUCAGGAGGAACACCGAGGGCGAAGGCAGCUUUCUGGACCGAUACUGACGCUGAGGCGCGAAGGUGUGGGUAGCGAACGGGAUUAGAUACCCCGGUAGUCCCAGCUGUAAACGAUGGUCACUAGAUGUGGGAGGUAUCGACCCCUUCCGUGUCGUCGCUAACGCUUUAAGUGACCCGCCUGGGGAGUACGGCCGCAAGGUUA
rnacentral:rRNA from 1 species